rnacentral:lncRNA from 1 species
GAACCUCAUUCCUUUAACACCAGAAUGUCCAGCUUUGAUGCUUCCUUGCCUGAUAUGAAUAAUCUGCAGAUUUCUGAGGGUUCAAAGGCUGAAGCUGUUCGUGAGGAGGAGGACACCACCGUGCAUGAGGAUGAUCUUUCUAGUUCCAUCAAUGAACUCCCAGCAGCUUUUGAAUGCAGCGACAGCUUUAGCCUGGACAUGACUGAGGGGGAAGAAAAAGGCAAUCGGGCACUGGACCAGUUUACCCUGGCGAGCCCGCAGCCUGUGACGAUGCCGAGGAGGCCUGGCGCAGCCACAUCAACCAGCUUAUGUGUGACUCAGAUGGCUCCUGUGCUGUGUAUACAUUUCAUGUGUUCUCCUCCUUGUUUAAGAAUAUUCAGAAAAGGUUCUGCUUCCUAACCUGUGAUGCAGCCAGUUACCUUGGAGAUAACCUCCGGGGAAUCGGAUCCAAAUUUGUCAGCUCUUCCCAGAUGCUCACCUCCUGCUCUGAAUGUCCUACACUUUUUGUGGAUGCCGAGACUCUCCUUUCAUGUGGACUUCUGGACAAGCUCAAGUUCAGUGUGUUAGAACUGCAAGAAUAUUUGGAUACCUACAACAACAGGAAAGAGGCCACACUCUCUUGGCUUGCAAAUUGUAAGGCAACAUUUGCAGGGGGAUCAAGAGAUGGAGUAAUUACCUGUCAACCAGGGGACUCCGAAGAAAAGCAAUUGG